CGACGAGUUUGAUCCUGGCUCAGGAUGAACGCUAGCGGCAGGCUUAACACAUGCAAGUCGAGGGGUAUAGUUCUUCGGAACUAGAGACCGGCGCACGGGUGCGUAACGCGUAUGCAAUCUACCUUUUACAGAGGGAUAGCCCAGAGAAAUUUGGAUUAAUACCUCAUAGUAUGUGAGAAUCGCAUGGUUUUCACAUUAAACGUUCCAACGGUAAAACGAUGAGCAUGCGUCCCAUUAGCUAGUUGGUGAGGUAAUGGCUCACCGAAGGCUACGAUGUAGUA
rnacentral:rRNA from 1 species